UAAAUAGAUUUUUAGCCACUGCUUUCUCCUGAGGCUUCUGAGCUCCCAGGAGGCUGGUUUUCUUUCUUGACGGUGUAAACAGAAGUGGCUGGAGAUGUUUACCUUUGAACCUGAGCAUGUUGUUGUGGGAGCGAGUCUGUCCGAGAGAGGGUUCACUCGGUCCCAAGUGUGCACUCAGCAGGUUGCGGGGGCACGCGGUGCUCCAAUCAGGCGCUGCUGUCCCCACCCUGGGGGAGCCCUGGAACCUCAGGUGGUGUGAGGACGGGCUCAUUUCUGUGAUUUCAACACCAAUCUGAUACAGCAGGGCUUUCUGCCUCCGUGAGUCAAAGCCGACAGGCCCUUAGCAGGUUAGACUGUACUCUCUAAAGGGGGAGAAAAAAGGAGAGGUGGCCAGUCCUCCCCAGGGGGCGAGGGGGCUUGGUUUGCUGAUCACUGCAGAGGACCGUCCGGACAGGAGCAGCCUGGCCCGCAGGCCGGGGCGCAGGGAGAGGCGGCGGCAGCAGGGCCGCCAGGGGUGCGAGCUGUGUUCACUCCCUCCCUGGAGCGUGGCUCCACUUGACCUCGAGAGGCCUGAAGUCAGGGCGGGAGCUUCCUGCACUCUUGCUUGGGGAUCUGGAGGAAGCAUUUGUAGCUCAUGCUUCAGUAACACGGGGUUCAUCUGAUGAGUCCUCUGCCUCUGGCACAGGUUGCUCUAGGAGCAGAUGAACAUUUUCAAGAGGGAUGGGCUGUCAGGUUCCAUGGUGGAGCAUGGGUGGCCUUUGGAGAGGUCCUGAGGAAGGGGAGAUGCUCAUCACAGAUGCUCUUUCAAAUCGCCUGCCUGUGGAGGCGCCAGACAGCAGACUUCCAGUGGGUUCAGGAUGGAUCUAGAUUCCUCUCAGAAGGUGAACCUGCUUAUGGCUACACCUGGCUGACCACUCCUACGCUGGUACUCAAGGUUCACUGCUCUCUGGAUGAUGCUGUUGAAGGGCCCUCUGAGGAAAAUGGUUCUGAGGGAAGCCCUCUCCGAGGAUAGAUGUGCUGUCUUUGUGCACACUAGCCUUCAGAGUGUAAAUAGCACUUACUUGGUGUUCCUGAGUCUGUGCUGAUGCUCAGAUGCAGACAUUACGUUUGAAUGGGCUUCCUCAUCAUUUUUAUAUGGUAAAAUGGACAAUUUCCAUAUUACAAGGAGAAAGGUAUAAAUAUUAUAUAUUCCUUAUUCUCCAAUCUUGAAAAUAGAAAUUUUAUAGGAGUUUAAAACAAAGUUUGUUUUGCAGUAUAUUUUUAUGUUAUUUUGCUACGAGAGAUAGAGAAUCAUCAAACUGUCUAUGCACGUUGAAAUAAGCUGGUGAGAAACCGCGACUGGACCCCACAUGAAGCAUGAUUUUCUAUUCCAGCCUGGAGCUAACCUCUGUCAGCUGCAGAGUCCUCUCCAGCUCUGGCUUUCUGUUAUACUUACACAUUUCAACACUCCCCCCAAUUUUUCCCAUGUAAAAACAUGGACAUAGAAUUGAUAUUUUUAUUGUGUUUAAUCUAAAUAGUCUCUGGAAAUGCAAGGUAUUAAUUUCUGUAGAUGAGCAACUUAUGUCUCUUAAGGUAGUAUUUUUAUCUUAUUUUUGUUCUUCCUUUUCUCUGAAAGUCUACACAGAAAAAGGACAGUUAAUGAGAGAGAGGUUGAAGGGUUGUGAGUGAACUGUCUCCAUACGUGGUGUAACCACUUGUACAGUGAAGUACGGGUCAACAGCAGGCCCUGCUCAUCUUCCUGGCCUCAUCUGCUUCCCACAGACCCUCAGCUCUAAUGAGCUGUUCUUGCCACUGUGCUGUGAACACCGGCGCCUUGCGACAUGGUUCACAUUGUUCCUACACCUAAAAUCAUUUCCCCCCAUUACUUUUCUUUUCCCUUCCUGCUAAACCCUUCC